AACGUACUUCCUCCGUUCCAUAAUUCUUGUCGAAAUAUUACAUGUAUCUAGACGCAUUUUAGGAAUAGAUACAUCCAUUUUUGGGCAAAUUUGAGACAAGAAUUAUGAAACGGGGGGGAGUAGUUU
rfam:Brachypodium distachyon strain Bd21 chromosome 4, whole genome shotgun sequence.